UCUUUAGACUCUCUAUUAAAGGUAAUUCCUGCCCAGUGACUUUUAGUUCAACGGCCGCGGUAUCCUGACCGUGCAAAGGUAGCAUAAUCAUUUGCCUUUUAAUUGGAGGCUUGUAUGAAUGGAUAAACGAGGCUUUUUCUGUCUCUUUAAAUUUUCUAAAAACUAACUUUCAGGUGAAGAGGCCUGAAUUCUAUAAGUAGACAAGAAGACCCUAUUGAGUUUUACAAAGGUUUAAACCAUUUUAUAUCUUUGUUUGGUUGGGGCGACCGAGGAACAUUUUAAUCUUCCUUUCUCUCUAUAGAUUUUCCUAUCAUAAAAAUUGACCCUAUACUGAUCAACUGAACUAAUUACCAUAGGGAUAACAGGCUUAUUUUUUCUGAGAGUCCAUAUUAAAGAAAAAGUUUGGCACCUCGAUGUUGGCUUAGGGUAACCUUCAAAUGCAGAAGUUUGAUUGGGUUAGUUUGUUCAACUUUUAAUUCCCUACGUGAUCUGAG
rnacentral:rRNA from 1 species